UAUAGUUUAUUACCCUUAGUGAUCUGGAAGGGUGGCUUUGGUCCCUGACUCUGGAAAAUAAAUCUGCAAAAAGGAUGUGUGUGUGUGUGUGUUUGUGUGUGUCCCUCGGUUCAAGAAUACAAGAACACAACAAGAGAGGCAGCGGCAGCUACUACUACUACAACAACCGUGUUGUUCCUUUUUGUGGUUUUUGUCAAAGAAGGACCAAGAUUUCCAAUACAAUAACAGCAGAGGCGGCUUGGAAGUGAGGCUGGAGGAGGAGGAGGAGGAAGAGAAAGAAGAAGAAAAAAGAGGAGCAGGAGAGGAAGAGGAUGGCAGCAGCAGGAGGAGGAGGAGGAGGAAAUUCACAAAUGGAAGAUGAAGUUGGGAGACAUCAAAGGGACACAGUGUUUAAAUGAGACAUAAAACGGUUGGUCUUCUGCACCAUUA